CAGAGGUUGCCAUAGGUGUUCAGGGUAUUCAGAUCAUGCCUGAACACUGCGCUGGUUAGGAAUAUAGCCUGACAGCUGGCAGAAAUGGAGCAGAUGUAAUGGACAUACUGGGCAUAGUACUGCUCGCAUAUCCAGUAUGUCCUGUGCACAAGGUGAAACAAAGGCUGGCUUCAGCUGGGAACCUCAUCUGUCUGAGAUCAAGUACCGAGGACAUGCUGCAAAAGAUUUCCAAGUUAGGAAAUGACGGCACAGAGAAGCUGUGAAAUUGGGCUUCGGAAAAAUUAUAUGCAGUGAGUGAGUAAAAAAGGAGAAGAUGUGAGGACUGGAUAUUCUGGAAAGGGGAGGCCUGGACUCGCAAAGAGGAGACUUCUCUGCAAGAGAGGAGACCUGAGGUGACCCCCCCCAGGCCCUGGGCUGCAGCCGCGGCACCCACCCUGGCAGAGCACACCCAAAGGCCCUGAGCCGGCGUACGGUACUGGGAUACAGAUCGGCAUCUAGCUGAUUCACUAGUGCAAGUAGAGGUCUUCUCCGCUACAGCUGCUCUGGAGACCUUUCUGAAGUUCAGCAAGUGUCUAGCACCCCACCACAACCAGCUCCAAAAGAGCUGCGAUGCCACCUUUGCGAUGCAGUCCCCGGUGAUAAAACACAGUAGGACCACCUCGGCAAAGAUGAGCUGAAGGGGACAGCAUGCAGGAAGUACAGGGGCAUCCGCUUCUGCACAUCCUCCCCCUACACGUGCUUCCAGCGGCUCACACAAAAGACCAUUCUGCAGGAUUUGGGAUUGACUCAGCUCUACUUGCCCUGCUGGUUUCUGUCAGUGUGACUUCCAGGAAGAUCAGCGGAGCUGGCCCCAUGCCUUUCAGUGCGAGGGAGCAAAGGCUAACCAGGAGUGCCAGAUGGAAGGACCAGGGCGACCCCAGGUUUCUAUGAAGACACGCUGGUGUGGUUCCCUCAAAGGUGAACACGUUGGUUUUGGGGCACUGGAUCCCCAAUUUGUACACAGGUGGGAUUUCAGAAAGCAAACCUGACCCUCACAAACAACCCCUUCCACGAGUGAGUUGUCUGCAGGGGAUAGAGAGUGAACGCUGAGCACUGGCGGGUGCAGCUGUAGGUACCAAAACACCCUUGUCUCAUUCUCAGGCUUUGCUCCAAUUUCAUCAGCCUGCAGAUGUUCCUAGCAAAGGCAGAGAGCUUAGGGGGAAAACAAAAGCACCAGCCUGGUUCCCAGUCCCAUGAAGCAGGGAAAGGCGCCUGUGAAACAGACGGCUCAGGAUCAGGUUUAUGUCUGACAAAGCUGUUUCUACCAUCUGAUUGCGCCCCAGUAAAAUUAGAGGUUCCUAACCCACCUCUGAGAUGUCAUGCAAAAAAUUGGAUGGAAGUGAACUACAAAGGCAAAAUAGUCUUCCUUUAUGAUGAAACCUCAGAGGAGUAAUUAAUUUAAUCAGCAGACUUCAACACCGCCUUUCAUAACCUGAGAUGCACCAAGAGGUUAAGCCAUAGGGGCCAAGUUAUCUUUGUGACCUUUACCACCAGGAAAAUUUACAAACAGCAAUUAGUAGAUUCGGAGGCCGAAAAAAUUAACCCAGAUAGAGAGCAUGUAAUAAACCUCUGGCAUUUAACUCAGUGAAGUUAAAGCAGAAAGGCCAAGCUGCGCUACAGCCACCAUCUGCAGCGAAGGGAAUUAGCAUUGAUCGUCUCAUGGGAGAUUCGCAAAACAUCACCCAGUUGUUAUAUACUGAGGUCAUAAAAAUGAACCCACUUAUUUCAUGCGGGAUAUAGAGUUGUUGGACAGUAUUUAAUGGAACAAGAGCAAACUACAAGUGACUAUAUAGAUCCCUGAUAAGAUACUUUUUCACCCCAUUUCGCGGUGAACCUUGGAACUUCUAGCUUGGUACCAGAGUGAACCCUUUUCUCUCAAUAGCACGCAAUUAGGUGAAUUACUUGGUAUAGAUAAAGUUGCUCUUUGGAGAGAUAUUACUUACAGUGAGACAGCACAAUCCACAGGAGUGAUAAAAAGAGGGGAGGUUCACAUACCAGGUAAAGAGUAACAAAAUUCUAACAAAGCUGGGGUUUGUUGGGCACACCCUCCCCCACCACAGCUCU